UCCCGGUCACCUCUUUUCUUUUCUUUUUCCUUCUUUGUUCUUCUUUCUUUCUCGGCCAUGAAACCGAGAGAGGAGAUCGAGAUGAAGAAGGAAAUUGAGCAGAGAAGUUAGGGUUUGUGUCGAAAUUGAAGAAUCAUAGUAUGGGUUUCGAAAUCAUGAAUCCAAAUCUAAAUUUCUGAUUCUAGCUCAAAGAAAGAAAGGUGUUGGUUAUGAACCCUCGAGUUGGUCAAUUCCAGUUGGGAUUUGAGAAUAAUCGAAAAGGGGAUUUUGGGUGUUCUUGUUUUGAGAUUGAAGAUAUUUCUGCUACCAAAAUAGUUUUUGAGCAGUUGAUACCCUAGGGGGCUUGUAUCUGAUGUGGACUAUGUUAAGGAUUUUUUCUCUGUUGCCCCCUUUGUUUUUUUUCCAACAAAUUGUACAUGUUCCGAUCUUCUCUUGUUGUUGUUCCUGUUUCAGCAUAGAGCUCCUACAGUGGGAUCUGCUCCACUAAGAAUCUGACUUAUAUGAUAUGUAAUGGCACUCUCUUCUGUUUGUUUACGGAUCACUGCCAGCACAUGGAGGCAUAUUUACUUGGAUGAUGCUGAUGCCAAUUUCGUACCAGGACCAGUGGCAUCUCGAUGUUGCGGAUUGCUGGGAUAUUCAUUGUUUUCAUCUCCGUUCUCCACUUCUCAUAGAGCUCUUACACUGGGAUCCGCUCCACGAAGAAUCUGGCACUCUCUUCUGUUUGUUUACGGAUCUCUGCCAGCACAUGGAGGCAUAUUUAACCGGGAUGACGCUGAUGCCAAUUUUGAUGCAAUCACGUAGUGGUGUCGUUUCAUCAGGUUCUUCGGACGACCCUCCCGCCGUGGCAACGGUUAUACUAGCAUGGCCACUUUUUUUGUAAAUUGUAAGUCAACAGUUGAUAUAAAAAGAUUGGAUUUGGUGUUCCAAACCUUUUUCAAUCAACAAUGAAAGAACUAAAGAGCCCCUCCAUGUUUCCUUUUCUCACUAAAACUAGCAUAAAUGUAACACAAAAUGAAGGGUAAUCGCGUAAAUGUUUUGGGCAGAAAAAAGGACACGGAGGUUGGAAAUAGUUUAAUUGUUGAGGGGCAGUUUAGUAAAAUCCAAGGUAAAGUGACCUAGAGGUUGCAGGAUCGAAUCCCGGCCACCUCCUUCUUUUUUUUUCCUUUUUUUUUCCCCCUUCUUCUUUCUUCUUCAGCCAUGGAACCGAUAGAGGAGAUCGAGACAGAGGAGAUUAAUGGAACAUGAUUGAAGAUAAAAAUGAUUGAGGAUAGAAAUUGAGAAGGAUUCGAAGUAGAAGAUGUGAAUGCUGCCAUCGAUUAACAACAGGAAGAAUGGAAAUGGUCGCUUCUGUUUGAAGUGAAGAGUUAGGGUUUUGCAGCGGAAUUCGAAAUUAAUUGAAGAAUUAAAUCCAGGGUCUGAGAAUUUGAGGGUUUUUCUGACUCUUGAUGUUACGGAGAAGAAGAUGUGGUUCUCUGUUAACAGAGAGAAGGGUUGAGGAACUCAAAUCGGUGAUGUGGAAAUCAGAGAGAUGGGUUCGAUGCUGUUACCAUAGUGAUAGUCAAGGGAUGGGGCUGUUGUCAAAUUAAGAGAAGAACGAAGAUCCUGGGUUGUGUAAUUUAUGGGUUUUUUUCAGAGAAGAUAAUGGAGAUGCUGUUGUGUAACGACGGGGGUUGAAAUUGAAGAACUGAAAGUGAAAUUAAUCUUAGUUAUAUUGGGAUUUCACUUAAUUCUGCUAGAUCAGUGCUUGAUCAUAUACAGGUAGUAAGUAACUCAUAUUUUGUUUAGUGUUGGUUUAAAUUUUUGUUGAAUAAUUUUGUUAAACAUGAUGGAAUUGUGUGAUGAUCAUAGGGAGAUGAUUUGCAUGUUGUUAUUAUAUCGAUACAAAUCUUAAUGCGUAUGAGAUAUCGACUGCUCAGGCAUUGUUGACACAAAUAAAAGGGUUGUGGCUUCCACUUUGGGAUGGUUCAAAGUUUCAAACCAUUACAGGAUACACAUUCUGCUUUUGCUUGUAUUUUUUUUCUUUUUUUCCUGUUAGUAAUGGGGAUUGCAUUUCAUCGGCAUUCUAAUCUUAGGUAGAUCCAGUUGGUGGGUACCUUUUUUCAGCUCAUGUCUUCUAGAUAUAUGCUUUGAGUUUGUUGCCAGCACGUAAUCUUAAUCUGGUGAAAUGGGGAAUAUAAGAGUAUUAAUUUGCUUUUGGAAGUUGAAUGAAUGUGUAUGACUUUCAAUCUUAAUUUCUGAUUGAGUGCUUAGCUGAUUUGGAAAAGAAUUUGAUGAAGAGAGGUUUAGAUUUGGUUAUAUAACAUGGAAAACCCGAAGAUAGUCUCCCUUCAAUUGCAAAAGCUUUUGGAACUCACGCAGUUAAUAGAUAUGUUAAUUUAUAAAUGAUAUUGAAGAGCAAUUCUUUUGCGAUGAGUUCUUUUGUGUACUGCACACUGCUCUAUAUGAUUCGUCAAGCAAGCUUUUGUUGAUUGAGGUAUAAAGAAAUUUGUAGUUAAGAGUUGCUUGUGGAAACACUAGUCAAAAGAGGUUUGCAAGGAGUAUCUCUACUCUCCGAGGAAUCCACAUCCACCAGUCGAAAUCCUACAAAUAUGAAGCUUGAGCUUGCUUGGGGAAGUCCUAUGUACCAUGUCGAUGAUCUCCCUUUUAAUCCGAGUAGUUUACCUGACAUAUAUCCCCAAUUUUGUAAGGCGAAAAAAGAAAUGGGUUUCGCGGGUGGUGAAAGUGCAGCACUGGGCAGAGUAUACAAGUAUUUCUGGAAGAAGGAUUUUGCUAGGUCCUGAUCACUUAACAAAAUUCUCUCCAUGCCAGAUGAAAAGGAUAGGCUAGCAGAGUCUACAUAUUGGUAUCUUACUGUCUUCAUUGGGCCGACCGGGAGGACCUUUAUAUGGGGUUGUUUUUUUUUUUUUUGUAAUCAGUUGACACAAAAAGAUUGGAUGUGGUGUCCAUGCUUAGUUUUUUUUUUCGUUCGACACAAUUAUCCCUCCAUUUUAAUCUAA